AAAUGGGGACAGCGAAUCUCACUAGGAGCUCAGAACCUCAGAUAUUCUACAAUAUAACGGUGUAGUCAUUUCACGCAGUAAACACCCGGAUCUUUCACCAUCCGGAGAUGUCUGUGUCUCAUCUCUGGUUCCUGUUUCUGGUGCUGGUCGGUUUUACAGAUGUGGAGGCCGUGCUGAUCCAACAGACUCCGGCUUACAUAUCCGGUUCCCCGGGCACUCCAGUCAGCAUCGAGUGCUUCUACACACAAGGAAGUGUUACAGCCUAUUUCUACUGGUACCGAUGGUACCCUGACCGUGAGCCUGAGAUUCUUUUCUAUGCUGCCGCCGCUGGCAAGGUCACUCCCUCACGUGAGGUGGACGGUUUCACCGCGAGAAGGCCUGACAACAUGUACUUUUACCUGGCGUCCGCCGGCCUUCGGGCGAAUCACUCGGCUGUGAAAUGUCAGGUGCCGUUCUGGGAGCCAAUGACACAGAAAAGCAAUCUGGCCCCUCCCAUCCAACUAUUUUACAUUCAGGACAUGGGGACAACCAAUCCUACUCAGUGCUCAGAACUUCAGAUAUUCUAUAACGAAACAGCGCAGUGA